rnacentral:ncRNA from 1 species
AAUUACACUUUGAAAAGAAGAGUAAUAGUUGAUAUUUGCUUAGAGAGUCUCGUUGGGUGAAAAGAGAUCAAAUUUGAUACUAUGAAGAUGGUCUUUUCGUGUUAGUAGUUGAAUAGUUAAACUGCUACGGGUAGCCCGUUAUAGCUAAGAGUAUUGAGAUUUAAUUUUUUAGUACUUUUUGAGAUAGUAUUUGUGAAAAUACUAUAAAUCAAGGUGGUAACACGUCUAUAGAUACGUCCUUGUG